CUAAACAAUUUGACCAUUAUCAUUCAUAUUUCAUGUAGGCCAGCAACAAAAAAAAAAUGUGGUUGUACUAAAUUGUAUCAACUGCUUUUUGGAACAAAGUCUUGUUUUAUAUCCAUCACAUAUGUAUUGAUGGAGACGCAUGGUGUUUUAAAACUGAAAAAGACGGGAAUGCACUGCGAUGGGGUUUUUUUUAAAUAAAUGACAAGCUUAUUGACCUGGCAGCCCAUAAAAUCUUAAGGUUGCGGCCGAUGCUUCAUUACUUUGAAAUGAUUCUAAUCGUUACUCACCCAAAUUUCGUUUCAUUUCCUAACUCACGACCACCAUUGAUCGUGUUUGACUCGCAAGUUAAUUUAAAGUUUCAAUCCAAUGCAUAAUUGAUAAAAAUCAGUUCCAACCAACUCCGAAGGCCAUCCCAUUAAGGGUGAAACACCAAAAUGAACCGUUGGGUAAAAAUAGAAACAUCUGUAACAGAUUGAACUUGAUGUGGGUUCAGUUUAUAACUUAUUUGUGUUUUCGAUCACAACGAGCAGACCCCGCCACAUGAUGCCUAUUUCGUUUGCCAGUUUUGCCUAAUAACGACAAUGUUGUGUGUGUAUGUUUGUGCGUUGUUGUUGUUUUUUUUUUUCCUUUAGGACGAAUUCCCCCGACAACCAGGCGUCCACAGGCAUCGUUCCGGCCGGAAACUGCCACGGUUGGAGAUCCCGGACGAACCACGACCACUCCACGGCCGUCGAUUCAGCACAACAGCGAUGACGACUACGAUUGGUCCAGUCUCGGCCUUGACUCUGACAUUGGAAAUAGACUAGGAGCCGGUGGAGAUGACUCGAACAAUGACGUUUCUGGCUCUGGCGCCGGAAAUCAGGGCCGGAAGAAACCCUCCAAGUGCACGUGGGCAAUUGCCAACUGUUGCAGUCACAAUUCGGACCGAAUUCGUUACUACUGCUUCGAGCAAAAUCAGUGCUACGGUGCAUUCUGGGGUGAAAAUGUCUGCCGCAGGUACUUCCAGGCAGCGUUGAAGGAAAUUGAAACCUACUACGAUAUUUGAUCCGGGCAAACAUUGGGUUUGUACAUUUGAAGUUCUUAACGAGCGGAUACUCCCAAUAUCUUAGUGGAUAGUAUGAUAAUGAGGAAAAUGUAUAUUUAUUAGGGUGGUUCGAAUUUGACUAUUCAUCUUCUAUUGUAAAGCUGAACUGUAUGGGUAUAAUGAUUCUAAAUCAUUCUAACAUUAGCUGGCUUGGAUAAAAACUCGAGCAGCCCAAGCUGAAUACGUUUUCCAUACGAUUUUGUAUAGGGAAGCACAUUUUUAUGCAUGUUGGCAAUUUUUUUUUUUCAAUUCAUGUCAGCAUCAUAAGCCGGCUUCUGGCGAUUCAUUUGGAGUUGGUACUUAAUAUCGAUAUUUUUAUGAAGCUCUCCGUAACGAGCAUAAAAAUGGCUUAGGCUGCUCUUGCUUUCGAAAAAUUGUGCUCAUAUUUCAGAUUUGGGAUCAGUACACCUUAGAAAUUCAGCUCUGCAACGGAAGGCGAUGAGUUAAAUUUGAACUUCCCUAAUAUUCAUUUUUGUACAUCAAGAAGCAGUGCAUGUGUCUUUCGCAGUAUAUUCAGAUGUCAAUAAAAAAUACUAUCGAAAAUUCGAGUGCUAGAAAUCUUAUUGUCCUUUGUUAAGCAACCUUUUUUUCAUUUAAAACUAUCUAUAAAUUGUAAAUAUAUUUUAAUCAACCCUGCCCCACAUGGUUUUACAUAAUAAAAAGAUUCAUGCGAUCAAAUUUUCUACAAA